GCCGCGAUAGCUCAGUGAUAGAGCUCGCGAGUCGGGGAGUUUACGAGCCUGACUAACGCGGUUUCGAUCCCGGCUCGGGGCG